ensembl:lncRNA
CAAGCAGUGAGGUGAUGACACUACGCUCAGGCUGCCAGCCCUGCAGAUUUUGCUAUAAAGCACAGGUUGGCCUCAAACUUGCAUCCAGUCCUCCUGCCUCAUCCUCCUGAGUGCUGAGAUUGCAGAUGUGCACCACCAUGCCUGGCUUCAUCUUAUCUGACAGCCGGUUUGCUGAAGAGGGAAAAUUGCUAAGAAGCUGAGGUGACAGCAGUUUCAGGCGCACUCUAAGCUGAUUAGCUUCAAACACAGACACUGCUUCCUGGUGGAGACCCCUGACCCUGCAGCCGUCUUGAGGGAUUCCCGUCCGGUCACAGGAGGUACCAGGCUGCGGCAGCAUGUGCAGGGCUGCAGGACAAGACCUUAUCAGGAGAGUCUCCCAGGAAGCAGAGCAAGGGAAACACAGGG